UACGUAGGCAGCGAGCGUUGUUCGGAAUUAUUGGGCGUAAAGAGUGUGUAGGCGGUGCUCCAAGUCUGUCGUGAAAUCUCCCGGCUUAACCGGGAGGGUGCGGCGGAACUGGAGUGCUAGAGGGUGGGAGAGGAAAGCGGAAUUCCUGGUGUAGCGGUGAAAUGCGCGAUAGUCGGGAAGAACACCCGUGGCGAAGGCGGCUCUCUGGGACGGUACUGACGCUGAGACGCGAAAGCGUGGGGAGCGAACGAGG
rnacentral:rRNA from 1 species